ACUCUUUAUGUUAAAAUCUGUAGACUCCCAUGUCCUGUCCGUCAGGGGUACUGAAAUAUUUCUUUAGAAUAAUUGCCUCAUGGAACACCAGUGUAGAGAGAAUAUAGAACUAGAAAAAGAGCGAGAUGUCAUUUGUAUGUAACAUGGGGUGAAGAAUGGCCUUGAAAUGACAAAUCUGAAAGCUUUUAUGACCUGGAAGAAAAUUUGGGAUGGGUGGGAGUAGCACGUAACAUCACAACAUUAAUUUGGAAAUGCGUUGCAAGCCAGAAGGCAGCAGGUAUUAGCAAUGUGGUUUUAAAAAGAGCAACUCCUGUCAGACUAAUGCAUUCUCUCUCGGUGACAGAGUAGAUGGAGGAAAAGUGAAAGAUGUGACCUAGAUUGAUUUUAGGAAGGUUGCUAAUGCAUAUCCAUAAGUCACACCUGUGGGGCCACAAAGAAAUAAUUUUUUGCUAUUCAGCUCUUGGAGGGGCUACCUCAUUAGAGCACAUGUAAAGUGUGUUUAAUUAGGAAUUAAAUGGUUAUAGUAGACUUGGUAAAGAGGGUUGAAUUAAGAAAUAUUCUAUAGUGACCAGUAAUAUACCCAGUGCUCGUUCAACAUGUUCCAUAUAAUCUGCAAGAUGGCAGGAAACUCAGAAAUGGCCAGAUUGGUGGCAGGGGUAGGAGGGAGGGAUGAAUUUAGGAUCAGAGGUCAAAAUGAUUAUGAUUAUAUUUAGAGGCACAGUCAGAAAUAAUGUAGUAGAAGAUAAUGUGAAAGGCAGAACGGCAGGGCAGAGAGGACAUACUGGGUUUG